UACAGAGGUCUCAAGCGUUGUUCGGAUUCAUUGGGCGUAAAGGGUGCGUAGGCGGCGCGGUAAGUCGGGUGUGAAAUCUCGGAGCUUAACUCCGAAACUGCAUUCGAUACUGCCGUGCUUGAGGACUGGAGAGGAGACUGGAAUUUACGGUGUAGCGGUGAAAUGCGUAGAUAUCGUAAGGAAGACCAGUGGCGAAGGCGGGUCUCUGGACAGUUCCUGACGCUGAGGCACGAAGGCCCAGGGGGAGCAAAACGGGGA
rnacentral:rRNA from 1 species